rnacentral:lncRNA from 1 species
CUUCUCUUUCAAGACUCAUGUGAUUAGAGUGGCCCCACCCAGAUUAUCCAGGAUAAUCUCCCCAUCUCAAGGACAAAAAAGCAGUUGUAAAUGUUCAAAAAAAAGAAAAAGAAGUCAGGAAGGUGAGAGUUCAUUAUUUUUGUGCCUAUAGGCAUAGGCUAGCUGAAACUGAGUAUUAAGGAAAUCAUGUAGAAAAUUCAAGUCUCUGCAUUUUCUUUUAGUAAAUUGUAAUAAUUGGACUAUCCCUAACACACCUUUGUUUGUUCCCUCCAGGCCCACUCUCUGUCCCUUUACAGUUUGUUCGCUGUCCAGGCAGCUGACCUGUAUGGGCAUCACCAACGAGCUCCUUUGUCUUGUGGCUUCAAUGUGGGUUAAGACAAUGGAGAGCCCCAGCAGGAGACCAGAGGGAGAAGGGCGGGAAAGGUCAGCCUGACACAUUUUUGUUGAAUCAAUUGACAAAAGAACUGACACCAGAUGGCCAAUCAACUCAAGAGAAAGAUUGCUUGGGUUGCUAUGAGGAAGAGGAGGAGUAAGGCCUGAUGUGGAAAGACCUUUGAGAAGAUGUUGAAAUGAGGCAGAGGAGGAGCUAGGCCUGAUGUGGAAAGACCCUUGAGAAGGCUCCUGCAGUGAUCCAGGUGAGAAAUGGUCCAGUGGCAACAUGGGUCAGAGAGGCAGAAGUGGAGAUGGUGACAAGAUAAUGAGGACAUGUGACAAAUACCAAAUUAACAUGGUGGACAUCAGAAGAGGACAUCUUGGGACAAAGGUCACAGUAGUAAGAAGAAAAGUGUCUAGACUAUGAAAAGUAUUCAAAGAAUAAAGAGGCUUGGUUAAUGGAAGAGGUCCAGCUUUGAAGAAAAGUAUUUUUGUAUAAAUUUUGUGUAGCCCAAGUAUACAGUGUUGAUAAAAUCUACAGUAGUGUAGUCGUGUCCUGGGGCCUCACAUUCACUCACCACUCACUGACUCACCCAGAGCAACUGCCAGUCCUGCAAGUUCCACUCAUGGAACACUGAACUGUGAGUCAGAAUGUUGGGUUGAGAUCUGGCACUGACUGGCUGACACCCUGGGUCUGCCAUUUGUCCUCUCUUGAGCCACCAGCACAACAUAAUGUACUUGAUAAAAGAUGCCACUGUAAACCUGAAAGCCUUUUGCAAGGUAAGACAAGCAAAAUUGAGAAAAGAGGUAAGUGGCGUGUUUUUGGACAAUAAUGACUUUAUCUGAUUUGUGUUCCAAAUCCCAGGUCAAUGGAAUCGACUUUCAAUUCAAUUAACUUUUGAUCCUUAAAUGUAUAUCUGUUUAUUCAUUUUAAUAAAAAAAUUCCUAUUUUUAAAUGUAAAAUUGAGAAGUAUAUGAAUAAGGAACUGCUGCAGUAUGAUGCCUUUGCACCUGGGAAAGGUAAGUGUCAACUGAUCCCAUAAGACUUCUAGAACUGAACAUAGUGUGCCCAGAGAAUUACAGGUACAUAAAUUCAAAUUAAGUUAUCUGGGAUGAUUGGUUUGGAUAUCUCUGCAUCUACUAUGAAUGACAUAAGUGAGGAAACUCAUUGACAAAGGCAGUGCUUAUAUGUGUCAGGAUACAUAGGGUAAAACUGGUGGAGGAUGCAACUUGCAACUUUUAACUAAUAACUUACCUUUUGCUGAACCUGUUGAACUUGGCUAUGCUUAGAAAUAUGAGGGGGAUGCUACAAGGUGGAGUUUUCCUCCCUCUGUCUUCCUAUGGUGAUAAAAAUGAUAGGUACAAAAGAACAAAUGACCCACAUAUUUAAUAUAAAGCCUAUUGGGAUAGAAAUAUGUCAUUUAUUUAUUUUGUUAGUUCAAAAGAGAAGAAUAGACAGUAUUUUUUAAAUUACUGAGCUGGAUUCUUUAGAAUGGGUCCCCAAAUUUACCCUGAUGAAGAGUUGCUCACUUGAAAUCUUUAAGCUGAAUAGUAAAAAAGCAAGAGAGAGGAAGAGGCCUGCGGAGAGUGUUAAGAGUUAGCUGGAUAGUUGGAAGGCCACAGCGGGUGCUUGGGGCCCAGCAAAGAGUACAGCUCUCUUAAUUUCAAAUAAUGAUUAUUUGAAAUUAAUUUCAAAUCAAAUAAUGAUUUACCAUGCUGCAGUUGCAGGAAAUGACAGCUGUGGCCACACAUUUUCCCUCUACCCACCCACAUCAAAAUGCCAAUGAGUUCUACGUCUUGCUCCUUUCUGGUAAUGUAACAGCACUUAAAGCAAGUACUUCAAUAGCUGCAGGCCACCAGAAGGAUGGAGCCCAGAGCCUGCUGUCUUGUGAUUAGUGGGUGGAAGCACAUAUCUCACUGUUACAUCAUGAUCAAACUGCUGCACACUUAAAAAGUUCAAAAUCCAGUGUCUGGACCUCAUUUUUCUAAGAAGGCAUGCUUUAGGUUUUUAUUGAAGGUAAUAUAUUUCUGGAAUAAAAAUGGCAACUAUAGCAUACCAAAAAUAAUGAUAUUGACAAUAACAAUAUCACAAUAACAAUGAAAGUUAAUUGAGCAUUUACUCUUUGAGGGACACCAUACUCAGCAUUAGAAAGCUUAUCUUCUAUAAUUCAAAUAGCAACUCUAUAACAUAGGUGCUAUUUUCAUUAUUUUCAUUUUACAACUGAGAAAAUUAAGGCACAGAGAGAUGAAAUUAUGUGCCUAAGGGACUCACGGCUAAUAGGUGGCAAAAUAAUGAUUUGAAACUUGACUGUUAUUCUCAAAAGCCCAUGAGCACCAUCUUUCUAGACUUAAAAACUAAAUUGUCUUUCUCUUAUU